AGUGAACGCUGGCGGUAGGCCUAACACAUGCAAGUCGAACGGCAGCACAGUAAGAGCUUGCUCUUACGGGUGGCGAGUGGCGGACGGGUGAGGAAUACAUCGGAAUCUACUUUUUCGUGGGGGAGAACGUAGGGAAACUUACGCUAAUACCGCAUACGACCUACGGGUGAAAGCAGGGGAUCUUCGGACCUUGCGCGAUUGAAUGAGCCGAUGUCGGAUUAGCUAGUUGGCGGGGUAGAGGCCCACCAAGGCGACGAUCCGUAGCUGGUCUGAGAGGAUGAUCGGCCACACUGGAACUGGGACACGGUCCAGGCUCCUGCGGGAGGCAGCAGUGGGGAAUAUUAGGCAAUGGGCGCAAGCCUGUUCCAGCCAUACCGCGUGGGUGAAGAAGGCCUUCGGGUUGUGAAGCACUUUUGUUGGGGAAGAAAAGCAGCAGGUUGAUACCCCGCUGUUCUGACGGUACCCGAAGAAUAAGCACCGGCUAACUUCGUG
rnacentral:rRNA from 1 species